rnacentral:rRNA from 1 species
UACGGAGGGUGCAAGCGUUAAUCGGAAUAACUGGGCGUAAAGCGCACGCAGGCGGGUUGUUAAGUCAGAUGUGAAAUCCCCGGGCUUAACCUGGGAACAGCGUUUGAGACUGGGAGUCUUGAGUACUGUAGGGGGGGGUAGAAUUCCAGGUGUAGCGGUGAAAUGCGUAGAGAUGUGGAGGAAUACCGAUGGCGAAGGCAGCCCCCUGGGAAUGUACUGACGCUCAUGUGCGAAAGCGUGGGGAGCAAACAGG